AGGCUUUUAGUGUAGCGGUAACACAACAGACUCCAAAUCUGUUAACGUGGGUUCGAUUCCUGCAAAGCCUG
rnacentral:tRNA from 1 species